GAUGAACGCUGGCGGCGCGCCUAAUACAUGCAAGUCGAGCGAACGGACGAGAAGCUUGCUUCUCUGAUGUUAGCGGCGGACGGGUGAGUAACACGUGGAUAACCUACCUAUAAGACUGGGAUAACUUCGGGAAACCGGAGCUAAUACCGGAUAAUAUUUUGAACCGCAUGGUUCAAAAGUAAAAGACGGUCUUGCUGUCACUUAUAGAUGGAUCCGCGCUGCAUUAGCUAGUUGGUAAGGUAACGGCUUACCAAGGCAACGAUGCAUAGCCGACCUGAGAGGGUGAUCGGCCACACUGGAACUGAGACACGGUCCAGACUCCUACGGGAGGCAGCAGUAGGGAAUCUUCCGCAAUGGGCGAAAGCCUGACGGAGCAACGCCGCGUGAGUGAUGAAGGUCUUCGGAUCGUAAAACUCUGUUAUUAGGGAAGAACAUAUGUGUAAGUAACUGUGCACAUCUUGACGGUACCUAAUCAGAAAGCCACGGCUAACUACGUG
rnacentral:rRNA from 1 species